rnacentral:rRNA from 1 species
ACGGGAGGCAGCAGUGAGGAAUAUUGGUCAAUGGGCGAGAGCCUGAACCAGCCAAGUAGCGUGAAGGAUGACUGCCCUAUGGGUUGUAAACUUCUUUUGUUCGGGAAUAAAGGAGCCUACGCGUAGGCUUUUGCAUGUACCGUUCGAAUAAGCAUCGGCUAAUUCCGUGCCAGCAGCCGCGGUAAUACGGAAGAUGCGAGCGUUAUCCGGAUUUAUUGGGUUUAAAGGGAGCGUAGGCGGCCUUUUAAGUCAGCGGUCAAAUGUCAGCGCCCAACGCUGGCCUGCCGUUGAUACUGAUGGGCUUGAAUACACACAAGGAAGGUGGAAUUCGUCGUGUAGCGGUGAAAUGCUUAGAUAUCACGAAGAACUCCGAUUGCGAAGGCAGCUGGCGGUACCGUUACCGACGCUCAUGCUCGAAAGUGUGGGUAUCGAACAGGAUUAGAUACCCUGGUA